GUAGGCGGUUAGUAAAGCGAAUAGUGAAACCUGGUGGCUCAACCAUACAGACUAUUAUUCGAACUCACUAACUCGAGAGUGGUAGAGGUAACUGGAAUUUCUAGUGUAGGAGUGAAAUCCGUAGAUAUUAGAAGGAACACCAAUGGCGUAGGCAGGUUACUGGACCAUUUCUGACGCUAAGGCACGAAAGCGUGGGGAGCGAACCGGAUUAGAUACCCGGGUAGUCCACGCCGUAAACGAUGGAUACUAGCUGUUGGAGGUAUCGACCCCUUCAGUAGCGAAGCUAACGCGUUAAGUAUCCCGCCUGUGGAGUACGGUCGCAAGACUAAAACAUAAAGGAAUUGACGGGGAUCAGCACAAGCGGUGGAUCGUGUUCUUUAAUUCGAUGAUAAACGAAGAACCUUACCAGGGCUUGACAUCCAGGGAAGCACUACGAAAGUAGAGUGUGCCUUUUGGAACCCUGUGACAGGUGUUGCAUGGCCGUCGUCAGCUCGUGUCGUGAGAUGUUUGGUUAAGUCCAUCAACGAGCGCAACCCUUGUGAAUAGUUGUAUUUUUCUAUUCAGACUGCUCUAGUAAUAGGGAGGAAGGAGGGGAUGAUGUCAGGUCAGUAUUACCCUUACGUCCUGGGCUAGAAACACGAUACAAUGGCUAGUACAAUGCGCAGCGAAGCAGCGAUGUGGAGCAAAUCGCACCAAAGCUAGUCCCAGUUCGGAUAAGAGGCUGAAACUCGCCUCUUUGAAGCCGGAAUCGCUAGUAAUCGCAAGUCAGCAAAUUGCGGUGAAUACGUCACUGAUCUUGUACACACCGCCCGUCAAACCAUGAAAGUGACCAAUACCCGAAGUCCGAUUCGUCGGCCUAAGGUGGGGGGCAUGAUUGGGGUU
rnacentral:rRNA from 1 species